GUUUUCUUAAUCUAGGGUUUUAAAAGGGAUUUAUGGGUUUUAUUUUGGAUUAAUGUUGCCGUUUAUAGGGUCAGCCCCUAAUUUCUUGUCAAUUUUUUUCAAGUAUCAAGUUUCAGGGAUUAUGGCUCGAGUAUAAGUCAGUAAUCUAGAUCUUCAAGUCAUUGGACGCAAGCUUGAGUUAAUGGUGUCCUUGGCAGAAACGUAAUUGGGUCAACUUUUGCGUGGAGAUGUCUUAAACACUUAUUUAAAGAAUGCAGUUGCUGAGAAGAUGACUUUUUUCUAUUAGAGCAAGGGUUCAGAGAUGGAGCCCACUAUUUCUGCUAAUGAGACUCUCUUUGUUUGGAAGCUCCCUUAUCUGAAUGCAAGGCUGAAAGAGGAGGAGAUCUAGAAGAAUAUUGAGGCUCGUGAGUUUCUUCAAAGUCAGAGGAGACUAAACGCUUCUUCCAGCUUCUCUUCGCGUAGUUGGGCUGCAUCUGUUUUUCAAUAUUGGAAUAGGUUAAUGGUCUCUCCUAAUCCUCAGAGGAGACUAAACACUUCUUCCAGUUUCUCUUCGCGUAGUUGGACUGCAUCUGUUUUUCAAUAUUAGAAUAGGUGCGACCUGUGGUUGAAACAGGAUAUGAAACUUUGUUGCUUGUGAGGUUGCUGUUGGAAAUCAAAAUUCCUUCCCUUCGUAAAUCUUCAGUGAGUACCAAGGCUGCAUAUUAUUCCAGCAAUAUCUUCAUAUCAUUUAUAUAAGCUCAAGCCAUUGAAUGAUAUUUGCCUUUAAUUUGGAUGAAAGUAUGAAAUUGUACCUUUUUCCUGAAAUUAUAUGACACUAAUUUGAUGAUUGAACCAACUUUGGUUGCUAAUGUGUUGCACAAUUCUUUAGUGUUGGGAUGAAAUUAUGAAAUUGCCCUGUAUUUAUGACCCUAAUUUGAUGAUUGAAUGGACUGUAAUUUGGUUGCUAAUGUGCUGCAAAACUCUUUAAUCUUGGGAUUGAGCUAUGAAAUUGCCCUAAAUUUAUGACCCUAA